GGGUUUCACCAUAUUGGCCAGGCUGCUCAGCUUGCUUUUUAAAUUUUUAAAAUAACAGCUUAAGAUGCAGUUCACAUGCCAUAAAACUCACAUUAUUUAAGGUGUACAGUUCCACAGUUUUUUAGUAUAUUAACGAAGUUGUGUUCACCACCCCCAAAAGAAACCCUGUUCUCAUCGGUAGCUACCCCCGUUCCCUCUCCCGCACCCCCACACAUAGAGCCACCACCCUGCGGGUUCUGGAAGUUCAUGGAAAUGGAGUCACACGCCAGGUGCUUUCUGUGGGGGCUCCUUUCGAAAGCGGUCUGGACUCAGACCCCAAGAGACACUUCUUGCAUCUCAUGCAGGAAGGAAUUCGAGGUGACUGGCAGAGCGCAGUGAAAGCAGCAAGUUUCUGAGAUACUACUCCAUUGCGGAGUUUGAGUUUGAUGUCCUCAGAAAGCAAGUGGAGGAAUGCACCUCUUCAUUUUUUCAGAAUCAAUAGUAUGCUGACCUUCUGGAGUGAAAGCAUUCCCUCUGUUGAUAGUCUACGCGAGAAUGUGUGUAAGACCCAUGCCAUUUUAUUCUUAAGUAUUUUGCAGAAUUUGUUAAUGAAGCCAUUUCUACCUGGGAUUUUUGUGUGUAAAAAUUUUAAUUUUGAAUACAAGCUUUUAAAUAGCUGUUUAAUUAUUCAGACUUUCUAUUUUUCUCACGUCAAUUUGUUGCAGAUGUAUUGUUCCAUAGGUUUUUGUUCCUUUUGUCCACGUUUUCAAGUGUGCUGGCACCGCGACCUGAGCUAGUAUCUUCAGGUGUCUUGUAAUCUGCCAUGAUGCCUCCUCACGUGUUUUCUGUCAUUGGUUAUUUGUGUUCUCGCUACAUUUUGGCAAUGAUAAAGUUUCUUUAUCAGUUUCUUUAUCAGUUGGCAAUGAUAAAGUUUCUUUAUCAGUUUUGCAAAGAAACAACUGUUGGCUUUGGUGGUCCUCUCUGUUGGUGUCUGCUUUCUAACUCAUCCACACGAGUUGUUUUCCUUCUCAACUUCCUUCUGCCUAUUUUCUGUGGGUGUGCUUCACUGGAUUAUUUCCUCUAAUUUCUUACAAUGAGUUUUGGCUUGCUGGCUUCUUUCUCCCGUGUGGGCAUGGCUCAGCCCUCACUGGUGGUAGUCAGGAGCUUGUCACUGGGUAAAUGUGGGGUCCUCUGUAUCUUGGAUUGUGUCAUAGCAUUGAUUUGGAGGAGAACCAUGGGGUCACUGCCUGCGUGAACUGUGUCUCAUCCAGAGCUGUCUGGGGUGAAGGAUGUAACCAGGUCUUCUAGCACAGCCUCCAGAGGAAAGGCACUGAUGCAAUCUCAGUUUGAGUCCUAGAAUGUGAGCUCUGUUAGGAAUUCCAGUGAUUACAUAGUCCUUCGUUCUGCCGUUGUCCCCUGUUCAGAAGGUCACGGGCAAAAAAAAAAAAAAAAACAGGUCUGGAAAAGUUAGACUUGGUUUAUUUGUCUCAAUCAUACUCUCCCCUUCUGUCAUAGCAAUUUAUGUUGAUUGUAGGAUAUGCUGGGGUUUUUGCACUCUCUCUCUCUUUCCUUUUCUCUCUCUCUCACACACACACAAGAUGACAUUCACGAUCACAGGUGCUUCUGAGAAAGAGUUUGGGCUCAGGGAACAUUUUUGAGGCCUCCACAAGGAGGACCAAGGGUCUUCACAGUGAUUUGUAUGAAGGCCCCACCUCACUUCCAGAUUGUUGGCAAUUUUACAAUUUUACCAGCUUUCCGACUCCUUCACCCCCCCUCCUGUUUCACUGGUCCUACCAUUUACUUACCAUAAACUUGGAAUCUUUACCUGUUUUAUCAGAGCUUUGUUUUUCUCUCCCUACAUUGAUAAAGAAUCCCCCUUGCUGAAAGGUGGUUGGAUUUUUUCUCUUCAUGACUUCAGCUGAUUGGAUGAGGGCCUCCCACAUCAGGGAGGACAAUUUGCUUUACUCAGGGUCCACCGAUGUAAAUGUUAAUCUUAUCUGAAAACACCCUCACAGAAACAUCCGGAAUAACAUUUGACCAAAGGCCUGUGGCUCAGAAGGCAUUAGGUUGACACAUAAAAUUAAUCAUCACAUUCAGCAUUUGGUAAACUUCAACAUGAAGGGAGCUUUGUUCUUUGACUCUAGAAAAAUUUUUCUCUAUCUCUUUGAUAAUGUCUCCUUUUUGUUUAUCUCUUCUGUCUCCUUAUAGCAACAUUUUAAUUCUCAUUUGGACUUCCAUGAUUAAGUCUUUCUGAUUUUAUUUUUUUGGUCAUAUUCCCUAUCUUACUAUCUUUUUGUUUUUGAAUGUUUUGUUCAAUUUUGGCUUCCAGCACUUCUAUUAUUUUAUUGAUCAUAUUUUUAAUUUCUAAUAGAUCUUUGUUAGCCUCUGGGUCACGUUCAUAUUUUACAAUUUUUAUUUUGUGGAUGCAAUCACUUCUUGAAUCUGUCUCUGAAUACUAAUUUUUUGUUUGUAUUUUCUAAAUUACCCAUGUUGUGUGCUGUCUGCUUUUCUGUUUCUCUACCUUUGACUUUCUCUUCGGGGCUCACAUAGUCAGGCGUGCAUCUCCUCCUCAUGCCCCCCUUAAACUCCACAGAGGUGACAGCAAGUCCAGCUCUGAGGGACAAGCCUUCUCCCACCCCUUUUCUUUUAUGAUCAUUAGAGUUUCCUAAAGUACACAAUUUAGUCAAUUUUUAUGUAUCACAUAACUGUUACAGUUAUAAUUUGGAAUACUAAAUAGCAAUGAAGAAAAUGUUUAUAAGAUGCCAGGUGCCAGGAAGAAAAAACUGCGUGUAAAAUUGUAACUACAUCAUGACUAUAAGUACAGGUAAAGCAUGCAUGCCUGUCAGCAGGGUCCAUUUAGAGACAUAGCAUAAUAAAAACAUGUUGUUGUAAGUUUGCUGUGGCUGUGGGUCGCUUUCUCUAUUGGAUUAAUUUACUUUCUUAUUGAUUAAUUUACUUGUGCAGUAAGCCAACAUUAAUGCACACACCAUUUGUUAAAUUAGAAAACUUCCUUUUCCCCAAUCAGAUUGGCAGAGAUCAAAAAGAAUAACCAUAACAAUAACACCCAUUGCUGGGGAGGAAACGCACCCUCUUGCCACAGACUGCUAGAGGGCCUGCAGAUCAGGAGAAAAUUCCUGGAGGGCAAUUCGGCAGGACAGUCAAAAACCUUAAAAUGAACAUGCUCCUUGAUUCACUUCUAGCAAUGUAUUCUAAAGAGCUGAUCAGCAGAACAUUCUAAGAUGACUCUAUAAGGCUGCUUAUUUCAACACUCUUUGUAAUUGCACACUGUGGAAGCAAUCUAUGUAAGCACUUGGUUGAAUAAAUCAUGAUAUAUAUGGAGAAUAAAUGAGGUUAUUAAAACUGAUGCUCCAGAAACUGAUGUUUGGUCUUUAACCACUGUUUAUAAGGAUGCAACCUCAUUAAAUAAAUAAAUAAACAUUACCUUUGUUUAAAUAUUAGCCAUUAAACACCUGAUGCAUUUUAGGCUUUGUGUCCCCACCCAAACCUCAUCUUGAAUUGUAAUCCCCAGG